AAAAUUUUAAGUUAAUUUAAACUUUAAAUUUUCAAAAUUUAAUAUAUAAAAAUAUUUAUGAAUUUUA
rnacentral:tRNA from 1 species